GCGAGUUGAACAAUCCCUUCGGGGUGCGUUUGAUGUCGGCGAGUGGCGGACGGGUGAGUAACGCGUAGGAAUCUGCCCAACGGCGGGGGACAGCCCGGAGAAAUUCGGAUUAAUACCGCAUACGCCCUACGGGGGAAAGAUGGCCUCUUCUUGAAAGCUAUCACUGUUGGAUGAGCCUGCGUUAGAUUAGCUUGUUGGUGGGGUAAAGGCCUACCAAGGCGACGAUCUAUAGCUGGUCUGAGAGGAUGAUCAGCCACACUGGGACUGAGACACGGCCCACACUCCUACGGGAGGCAGCAGUGGGGAAUAUUGGACAAUGGGGGCAACCCUGAUCCAGCAAUGCCGCGUGUGUGAAGAAGGCCUUCGGGUUGUAAAGCAUUUUCAAUUGGGAAGAAAAGCGUGUGGUUAAUAGCUGCAUGUUUUGACGGUACCGAUACAAGAAGCACCGGCUAACUCCGUGCCAGCAGCCGCGGUAAUACGGAGGGUGCGAGCGUUAAUCGGAAUUACUGGGCGUAAAGCGCACGCAGGCGGUUUGAUAAGUCAGAUGUGAAAGCCCUGGGCUCAACCUGGGAACUGCGUUUGAUACUGUUGAACUAGAGUAUGGUAGAGAGAAGUGGAAUUCCGCAUGUAGCGGUGAAAUGCGUAGAGAUGCGGGGGAAUAUCGGUGGCGAAGGCGACUUCUUGGACCAAUACUGACGCUCAGGUGCGAAAGCGUGGGUAGCAAACAGGAUUAGAUACCCUGGUAGUCCACGCCGUAAACGAUGUCUACUAGCCGUUGGGGGGCUUGACUUCUUAGUGGCGCAGCUAACGCGAUAAGUAGACCGCCUGGGG
rnacentral:rRNA from 1 species